ensembl:rRNA 5S_rRNA 5S ribosomal RNA
GCCUACGACCAUAUCACCCUGAAUGCGCCCGAUCUCGUCUGAUCUCAGAAGCUAAGUAUGGUCGAGCCUGGUUAGUACUUGAAUGGGAGACUGCCUGGGAAUACCAGGUGUUGUAGGCU